rnacentral:rRNA from 1 species
UACGGAGGGGGCGAGCGUUAUUCACCUUGACUGGGCGUAAAGGGUAUGUAGAUGGUUUUAUAGGUCUAAGGCAAGUAAUCCGAGCACAACUUCAGAAGUUGCCUUAAAAACAAUAAAACUUGAGGUUUUUGGAAGUAAGUUACAUUUUUAGUGUAUGGGUGAAAUUAUUUGAUAUUAAAGAGAUAUUCGUAAAGCGAAAGCGACUUACUAUGAAAGCCUGACAUUGAGGUACGAAAGCAUGGGGAGCAAACAGG